rnacentral:rRNA from 1 species
AUUGAACGCUAGCGGCAUGCCUUACACAUGCAAGUCGAACGGCAGCGGGGGAGCUUGCUCCCGCCGGCGAGUGGCGAACGGGUGAGUAAUACAUCGGAACGUACCCAGUAGCGGGGGAUAGCCCGGCGAAAGCCGGAUUAAUACCGCAUACGCCCUACGGGGGAAAGGGGGGGAUCGCAAGACCUCUCACUAUUGGAGCGGCCGAUGGCUGAUUAGCUAGUUGGUGGGGUAAAGGCCUACCAAGGCGACGAUCAGUAGCUGGUCUGAGAGGACGGCCAGCCACACUGGGACUGAGACACGGCCCAGACUCCUACGGGAGGCAGCAGUGGGGAAUUUUGGACAAUGGGCGAAAGCCUGAUCCAGCAAUGCCGCGUGUGCGAAGAAGGCCUUCGGGUUGUAAAGCACUUUUGUCAGGGAAGAAAUCGUUUGGGUUAAUACCCCGAGCAGUUGACGGUACCUGAAGAAUAAGCACCGGCUAACUACGUGCCAGCCGCCGCGGUAA